rnacentral:tRNA from 1 species
UCCCUGGUGGUCCAACGGCUAAGACUCCUUGUUUCCAACACAGGAGGGCCAGGUUCGACUCCUGGUCAGAGAC